ACGGUCCUAAGGUAGCGAAAUUCCUUGUCGGGUAAGUUCCGACCCGCACGAAAGGUGUAACGAUUUGGGCACUGUCUCAACGAGGGACCCGGUGAAAUUGAAGUACCUGUGAAGAUGCAGGUUACCCGCGACUGGACAGAAAGACCCCAUGGAGCUUUACUGUAACCUGACAUUGGGUUCUGAUACAUCACGUACAGGAUAGGUGGGAGGCAUGGAAGCGAGGACGCUAGUCUUCGUGGAGCCGCCGUUGGGAUACCACCCUUGAUGUAUCGGAAUUCUAACCGUAGGAGUAACGAAACUCGGGACAGUGUCAGGCGGGCAGUUUGACUGGGGCGGUCGCCUCCCAAAGAGUAACGGAGGCGCCCAAAGGUUCCCUCAGCGCGGCCGGAAAUCGCGCGAAGAGUGUAAAGGCAGAAGGGAGCUUGACUGAGAGCCAAACACGGCGAUCAGGUACGAAAGUAGGGCUUAGUGAUCCGGUGGCAUCCAAGUGGAAGGGCCAUCGCUCAACGGAUAAAAGCUACCCUGGGGAUAACAGGCUAAUCUCUCCCAAGAGUCCAUAUCGACGGGGAGGUUUGGCACCUCGAUGUCGGCUCAUCACAUCCUGGGGCUGAAGUCGGUCCCAAGGGUUGGGCUGUUCGCCCAUUAAAGUGGUACGUGAGCUGGGUUCAGAACGUCGUGAGACAGUUCGGUCCCUAUCCAUCGCGGGCGCAAGAGAUUUGAAGGGGGCUGCUCCUAGUACGAGAGGACCGGAGUGGACGAACCAAUGGUGUACCAAUUGUCUCGCCAGAGGCAUAGUUGGGUAGCUACGUUCGGAAAGGAUAAACGCUGAAAGCAUCUAAGCGUGAAACCAGCCUUAAGAUGAGAUCUCUCAUAGAGUAAUCUAGUAAGACACCUUGGAGAAGACGAGGUUGAUAGGUCGGGAGUGUAAGUACAGUAAUGUAUUCAGCGGACCGAUACUAAUAUGUCGAGGGCUUGACUUA
rnacentral:rRNA from 1 species